GCGACGGCGAGCGCGCGACUGGAGACAGCGCGCGCAUGGUUGGUCGGACGAGCAUGACCGCAUGCGCGGGGGAGAGGGAUAUGAGUUCAUCUGCCCCGUCACUAACAGCCUACAACUGACCAUCCUCAGGCCGGCGAAAUAAUCAUCCUCCAAGGGCCGGUGAAAUGGGGACGAAAGUUAAUAUUAUAGUAGGCUCACAUGUAUGGGCUGAAGAUGCUGAUAUUGCCUGGGUUGAUGGAGACGCCAUUAAGAUCAAUGGCGAAGAGGCCGAGAUCCAAGCAACCAAUGGGAAAAAGAUCAUUGCAAAUUUGUCGAAAUUAUAUCCUAAAGAUAUGGAAGCAGCUACCAGUGGAGUUGAUGACAUGACCAAGCUCUCCUAUCUCCGUGAGCAAGGAGUUUAGCAGAAUCUGGCGAUCAGGUAUGAACUUAAUGAAAUCUAUACAUACACUGGAAAUAUUCUCAUUGCUGUCAAUCCUUUCCAAAGGUUGCCGCAUUUAUAUGACCCACAUAUGAUGCAACAGUAUAAGGGGCACCAUUUGGAGAGUUAAGUCCACAUGUUUUCGCUGUCGCAGGUGUCGCAUACAGGUACGCAA